AACGAACGCUGGCGGCGUGCCUAACACAUGCAAGUCGAGCGAGAAAGUCCCGGCAACGGGAUGAGUACAGCGGCGAACGGGUGAGUAACGCGUGGGUAAUCUACCCUUCAGCUCGGGAUAACCUGCCGAAAGGUGGGCUAAUACCGGAUGAUGUUCCCGUGGGGAUCCUGCGGGAAGCAAAGGGGGCGAGUGUAAGCAGCUCUCACUGGAGGAGGAGCCUGCGUCCGAUUAGCAGUUGGUGGGGUAAUGGCCUACCAAGGCGACGAUCGGUAGCCGGCCUGAGAGGGCGACCGGCCACACUGGAACUGAGACACGGUCCAGACUCCUACGGGAGGCAGCAGUGGGGAAUCUUGCGCAAUGGGCGAAAGCCUGACGC
rnacentral:rRNA from 1 species